CACCUCGCUCCGUGCUGGAAGCAAUAAACACAAAGCUUUUAAAGACUUUCUGACUUGACUAAUUGAGGUCGCUUUCGUCAGAGGCAGAGGAUGUGUAACCCUUAAAACGGUCUUCAUUUGCAAAGGAAACUCGCCUCCUUGGACAGCCAAGAGAACAAAAACCCUAAUCUUCUGAUGCUUUGGAACUUCUGCCAUGUUAAUUAUGGACUGCUUAGAGCACUGUACUUACCCAUAUGCUCAGAUACUGAUGAGAACGAAUAUGAGAAUCCUGCUCAGCAUUUCUUGUAUGAAAGCCUUAAAGUGUAAAACAGCAUACACUUUUUAAAAACAAUUGUAUAUUGAAAUUCUUAACUGUAUAGUGAUGCAACAAUGUUUUAUUUGGAGCUCAAUAAAGAAUUUCCAUCUACGUUCCUGUUAUAAAGCAAUAAUGUGACCUCCUUUUCUUUAGUGACUCUUUUUAGCCUUAUGCAGCAAGUGUGAGAGAGUGUGUGAAGUCUCAUGACUAGAACUUAAAUUCUUCUGGAAAUAGCUUGUCUAAUGUAUGAACAACAUGGAUAAGUUACAAUGAAGAUUGGUGUUUUCUGCUGAAGCUUUUUUUAAUAGUUAAUUGUAAACAAGUCUGCUCCAGACAGGACUCUUGGGUAGAAAUAAUGCUCCAACUUCUAUUUCCUUCAAAAACUUGUAUAACAAGAAGUGUUUAAUCCCUGUCAAUUAUACUAUGCUGCUUAUUCUCUUUCACUUGGCGUUUGAUGCAUAGAAAUCUUUUCUCUAAUACACAGUCACAGGUUUUCUAGUAGUAGAGUCUUGGAUGAGAAUUUUGCACCUUGAUAAAUCUUGUAUCCAACAGUCAUGUUUCCUCAGUGCUUUCUGUUUUAUAUUAAUUGUGAUUGUGAUAAUUUGUAACACAAAUAAAGUUCUGAUAAUUUA